GGCCAGAGCAACUCUGCUUCCAGGGAUGGAGAUAAACCUGAAAGCGAGCCACGCAAGAGGAGAGUGAGCAUGAAAGCAGCAAGGGGAUCCACAGUGGUGACAUUGAACACGACUCCUUUCAGCCAGAGGAUCAUGAAGAGGCGCUGAGAGAAAGGACAGUUGCCGAUGCUUUCUCCAUCGAUUCCAGCCUGGAAAGAAGAGAACCAGUGUCCUGAGUGGGCAGGUGCAAUUAGCAAGGGGAACAUAAGAUUGUAACACCCAAAUGCAGGUCUGAGGAGACCUUACUAAAACCAUGUCCCAGCAACUUCAAAGGGCGGUAGCCUGAUAUUAUUAGUUUUUGCCUUAAUGUCCACGCAGGGCAAUGCCUGGCAGCAUGUAAGGGCUCAAUAAAUACUUGCUGAAUUGAACUUGAUGAUUAUGCAGAAUCAUAACUUUAUGAAAUCAUAGAACCCUUGGGGUAAAAAUAGACCUGCAACAUCACUUAGUCUGACACAAAUGAUAUUGGAAUGCCAACAUCUACACCCCCAAGUAAUCAUCUAGUUUCUGCUUGAAUAUCUCCACUGACCAGUCAGUUGUAUUAAUAUCUCUCAAAGCAGUUCAUUCUGAGGAUUGCUCUAACAAUUAGAAAUGCUUUCCUUCGGCUACCUAGCCAAAAUAUGUUCCUCUGUAGUUUACCCUCCCCCACCCCUCAGUCCUUGGAUGUCAUGAAUAUAAAUAUCUCAGACUUUGAUCCCAUCUCCCUAUAUGGAGGCUAAUCAGGAAGCUCAAGGCUUUAAUC
rnacentral:lncRNA from 1 species